CCUUGGAUGAGACACCUCUGGCUUGCUGACCUGACGUGACUGAAGGCAUUAAUGCUUUCUGAGG
rnacentral:snoRNA from 1 species